AUUGAACGCUAGCGGGAUGCUUUACACAUGCAAGUCGAACGGCAGCGCGGACUUCGGUCUGGCGGCGAGUGGCGAACGGGUGAGUAAUGUAUCGGAACGUGCCCAGUAGCGGGGGAUAACUACGCGAAAGCGUAGCUAAUACCGCAUACGCCCUACGGGGGAAAGCAGGGGAUCGUAAGACCUUGCACUAUUGGAGCGGCCGGUAUCGGAUUAGCUAGUUGGUGAGGUAACGGCUCACCAAGGCGACGAUCCGUAGCUGGUUUGAGAGGACGACCAGCCACACUGGGACUGAGACACGGCCCAGACUCCUACGGGAGGCAGCAGUGGGGAAUUUUGGACAAUGGGGGCAACCCUGAUCCAGCCAUCCCGCGUGUGCGAUGAAGGCCUUCGGGUUGUAAAGCACUUUUGGCAGGAAAGAAACGUCGCGGGCUAAUACCCCGUGGAACUGACGGUACCUGCAGAAUAAGCACCGGCUAACUACGUG
rnacentral:rRNA from 1 species